CCCCCUGGCCAGGAGGGCGGGCGGAAGGGCGCGUUCGCGGGAGGCUGGGAGGGAGCUGCCCGCCUAGAGCAGUUGCGAAGCAGCACCUCAGCCCCUCCCUUAGCAAGUCAGGCUCCGGUUACCUCAGGGCUGUGACCCCGCGGUCGAGGCCGGGGGAGGGGCGGCGCCCCGCGAACCAGGCAGGUACACCUCACAGGUGCCAGGAAGGACGCAGUUACACCUGGAGCAGCAUGAAAAAGCUCCACAGGUGGUGAGGAAGAGGAGCUGCACCCAGCCAGAUCCAGCCCACCAGAGCUUCCUGACCCUUCCCACCCAGCGGCAACCCUUUCCCUGCGCACUGGAGAACCACCAAACUGGUGGUGGCUGGUGCUCCCUGAGGAGCACCCUGCGCUUAGGCUCUUUUAAAGAAUGUUCUGCACAUCCACCAGACAGGGCACACACGUCUGCAGGGUCCUCAUGUGAGCAAACUGGCUGGUCUAGGUCAGAAACCCAUGCUUGCGGUUGAAAGGGAGAAAGGACAAGAGGAUCCCUGUCCAGAGCUGGUCCUAGGUCCCAGGAAAGCGUUCUGGUCAGCAGGUUCACCUGCCAUGCCCUUCCUUCCAUUCGUCCUGCCCCAGCUCAGAGGACAGAACCUCAAGAGGGAGAAGAAAAUGAAUUCUGCUGGGAUCGGUUCCGGACACCUGUACAUGAGUUUUUGAGUAGAUCUGGCUUUCCGCACCCACUCAUCUCCAAAGACCUCUGACCAGCACCAAGAAGCUGUGACCAGGCCGCUGAACUCGGCCUAAACACAGUGGGUACUCGAACUGCAACGUGUUGAUGGCGGCAGCAGGUGACUUAGUCUCUCCAAACCUUGUGCACGGUCUUCCCCUGACCUCUGUGCCCAAACGUAGGACAUUCUUGGUCACCACGGGCACUCUCCACGGCCAGACCCCGCUCUGGACCACCAAGGCAACAGGCGGGGAGUGUGGGCGAUGUCCCCGCCCAUCACUUCUGCAAAACCCAGGCAUCUGAGUCUCACAUAUCUCCAGUGACUCUUGACCUUGAGAGGCCGGUCGCCCCGACUAGGCCGCCGGCCCCGCAGCUCCCCCGCCCCUUGCCCGC